rnacentral:lncRNA from 1 species
GGCCCUCCUUGUUGAAACCACUUAGCCUGUGUGAAAAAAAAAAAAUACCUACGAAGGGCUUGACUCACCUGUACUGUACAUAGUCCCUGAAAAAGAGUAUGGCUUUUGGGACUCUACUCCAAUUGUGUUUUAUUUCUAGAAUAUCCCUGGUACUUCCAAAGCAAAAUAUUAUGGUUCUUCUUCCCAUCUUCCGUUUCUCCUACCCAUAAGGUCUAUGGGUUAGUCAAGGCCCAUGGCAAGUCCUAUCUCCAAAGAAGAGCCAUUCUAGAAAACUCUUUACCUUCCUAGAAAAUCCCAAAACACUUUUCUGAACUACUCAUUUGACUCUUGUUUUUAUGCAAGUGUGGCCUUCAUAUAUACUGUUGUAACCUACUCUCCAGGGUUUCACCUGUUCUCCAACACCCAACAUGGUGGUGGGCCUCUGAGGAGACAGAUUUGCCUCCAUCAUCUAGAAAAUGAAGCAUGCUGUGAGGGACUCUGGACAGUCUGGAAACAUCUAUUAGAUAUAUGCAUGUAAUAGUGUGGGGGGUUUUUUUGGGGGGAGGGGCGGGUACCAGGGAUUGAAUUCAGACACUCAACCACUGAGCCACAUCCCCAGCCCUAUUCUGUAUUUUAUUUAGAGACAGGAUCUCACUGAGUUGCUCAGCGCCUUGCCAUUGCUGAGGCUGGCUUUGAACUCACCAUCUUCCUGCUUCAGCCUCUGAAUCUCCGGAAUUACAGGCGCGUGCUACCUUGCCUGGCUUAGUGCAGGGUUCUUAACCUCAGUACUGGGACAGGUAAUUCUUUUGUUGUGGAGAUCACUAUAGGAUUUUUGGCAGCAUUCCUGCCUUUCCCACUAAACGUACACCUCUCAAAGUUGCACGUACACACACACACACACACACACACACAUUUGGCUUGUUGGUGUGGGGGUGAUGGGUGAUUAGUGUAACAUUUGUUAAUCCUGUCUAAUGUUUAGCUACACCAAGAGGAAGCUUUCAUUGAGACUACCUUUCAGGUUGUCAAAAUAAGAACUAAGGAAAGAAGAAAUAAAAAUCAUUAUGUCACAGUGAUAUAAAGAUGUCCCUCUGCUUUUAUUCCCAUUUUCAGCUUUACAUGACCAAAGUAUCAAAGGGUCUUGAUAAAGACUCUUUUGUGUUUGUUUUAACCUUAUCUUUGAUCACUUGGUUAAGGUAAUAUCUGCCAGGUUUUUCCACAGUAAAGUUAUUAUUUUCCCUUUCCAUGCUCUACUCUGAGUCAUUAAGUCCAGCCCCACCAUAUUGUAAGGGAGGGAGUACAAUAUGGUCCCACCUCCUUAAGGGGAGAAUAUCCACAUCUAUAAUGAGGAAUUCUGAAUUAUUUGUCCCUUUAAAAAAAUUUUUUUCUUAAGUGUGUGUGUGUGUGUGUGUGUGUGUGUAGUGCUGGGGAUCGAACCCAGUGCUUGGCACAUGCUAGGCAAAUGCUACACUCAGACAAAUUUAUUUUAUAUUUUGAGUUACAACCAAUACUACAUUACUAAUUUUGUUGCUCACAGUUGUCUGACUUAGCCAUGGGGAGUUCUUUCAGGAUGGUGACUUGUCCUUUUGGCCUGCACCCCAUUUUUAUUGGGCAGUUCAAGAAAAUAAAGUGUUAUUCUUUGUAAUUAAUUUUUGUUUUGUUAAAUAUUAAUUGCUUAAUUCCAACAAAGUAUAACUGUGUGUUUAAAUCCCUCUA